GCAAACAGCGGCAGCUUCCCGAGGCCCCACCGCUUCCUCCCAGCGCGUAGGCCAAUGGGAGAUUUCUCCAGGUGUGUAUUUGUUCAUUCGCGCACUGCUAUAAAGAAAUACCUGAGACUGGGUAAUUUAUAAAGAAAAGAAGUUAAUUGACUCAGUUCUGCAGGCAAUACAGGAAGCAAGAUGCUGUCAUCCGCUUGGCUUCAGGUGAGAGCUCAGGAAACUUACAAUCAUGGCAGAAGGUGAAGGGGAAGCCAUCACUUUUCAUAUGGCUGGAGAAGGACAAAGAGAGUGAAGGGGGAGGUGCUAUACACUUUUAAACAAACAGAUCUCAUGAGAACUCACUCACCAUUACCUGAGAAGAUGAUGCUAAACCAUUCAUGAAGGAUCUAUCCCCAUGAUUCAAUCACCUCUCACCAUGCCCCACCUCCAACACCGGGGAUUACAAUUCAACAUGAGAUUUGGAUGGGGACACAGAUACGAAUCGUGUCAAGCUGCAUCUAAGUUACCGCAAAGGCAUGAUUUCAUUCUUUGUAUGGCUCUAUAGUAUUCCAUAGUGUGGAUGUACCACAUUUUGUUUAUCGAAUCCACCAUUGUUGGGCACCUAUGUUGGUUCUAUGUCUUUGCUAUUGUGAAUAGUGCUGCAAUGAA
rnacentral:lncRNA from 1 species